CAGCCGCCGCGGUAAUACGGAGGGUGCAAGCGUUAAUCGGAAUUACUGGGCGUAAAGCGCACGCAGGCGGUCUGUCAAGUCAGAUGUGAAAUCCCCGGGCUUAACCUGGGAAUGGCAGUGGAUACUGGCUCGCUAGAGUGUGUCAGAGGAUGGUGGAAUUCCCGGUGUAGCGGUGAAAUGCGUAGAGAUCGGGAGGAACAUCAGUGGCGAAGGCGGCCAUCUGGGACAACACUGACGCUGAGGCACGAAAGCGUGGGGAGCAAACAGGAUUAGAUACCCCCGUAGUCCCUGUCUCUUAUAA
rnacentral:rRNA from 1 species